UUUGUAAGCUAUGAUUUGUGCAUACUUGUUUCUUAUUUUAGAAUUGAGCGUCUGUGGUGUGAUGUUUGGUCAGCCGUCUCUUGUAAAUAUUAUGAAGUCCUGCAUACAAUGGAAGAAGAGCGAGUGCUUGAUCUAUCCGAUGAGCUGCACCUCUUUUGUGUGCACUAUGCAAUUCUUCCACGGUUGAAAUCGGACCUGAAGGGCUUCACGGGGAGCUGGAACAACCAUCCGAUCAGAACAGAGGGAAAUCUUUCACCAGAACAGCUUUGGUACAUCGGAAUGUUACAGACACCAGUGGAUGAGCCAGAUAUAGAGGUGGUGGAGCAACUUUUUCGAGAGGAAACUGCUGAUACUGACCCAGAGGAUGGUGUGGUGGUGCCAGAGAUCCAUUGCCCUUUUUCUGACCAAAAACUUGCCGUUCUGCGUGGAUUAAUUAAUCCCUUGACAUCACCAUUGAAUGACAGGGAGCUCUAUGUCCAGACACUUUCUAUCAUCAAAAGAUUGUGCUCUAUUUAACAUUUAAAUGUUUAAGUAAAACACUCAGAAGUACACAUGCAGUUCUGUCAGAAUUUUAAUUAAAGAAAUUCAGUUAUUUGCCAGUAAAACAUUUAAUUUUAUACAAUGCUGUAAAACAUGUAACCAUUCAAAGCAUGUGAAGUUAUGAACACGUUGAACAUUGUAUCUCUGAACUUUAAAGAUUAAAUUAAAACUAUUGAGA